rnacentral:hammerhead_ribozyme from 1 species
AUUCAGCUGAUGGGUUUCGAUUGGGACGAAACGCGCGUCCUGGAU